rnacentral:rRNA from 1 species
UACAGAGGUCUCAAGCGUUGUUCGGAUUCAUUGGGCGUAAAGGGUGCGUAGGUGGCGCUGUAAGUCGGGUGUGAAAUCUCGGAGCUUAACUCCGAAACUGCAUUCGAUACUGCCGUGCUUGAGGACUGGAGAGGAGACUGGAAUUUACGGUGUAGCGGUGAAAUGCGUAGAGAUGUGGAGGAACACCGAUGGCGAAGGCAGCCCCCUGGGCUAACACUGACGCUCAGGCACGAAAGCGUGGGGAGCAAACAGG